AUUGAACGCUGGCGGCAUGCCUUACACAUGCAAGUCGAACGGCAGCAUGAUCUAGCUUGCUAGAUUGAUGGCGAGUGGCGGACGGGUGAGUAAUACAUCGGAACGUGCCCUGUAGUGGGGGAUAACUAGUCGAAAGAUUAGCUAAUACCGCAUACGACCUGAGGGUGAAAGUGGGGGACCGCAAGGCCUCAUGCUAUAGUAGCGGCCGAUGUCUGAUUAGCUAGUUGGUGAGGUAAAGGCUCACCAAGGCGACGAUCAGUAGCUGGUCUGAGAGGACGAUCAGCCACACUGGGACUGAGACACGGCCCAGACUCCUACGGGAGGCAGCAGUGGGGAAUUUUGGACAAUGGGGGCAACCCUGAUCCAGCAAUGCCGCGUGUGUGAAGAAGGCCUUCGGGUUGUAAAGCACUUUUGUCCGGAAAGAAAUCGCACUUACUAAUAUUAGGUGUGGAUGACGGUACCGGAAGAAUAAGGACCGGCUAACUACGUGCCAGCAGCCGCAGUAACAC
rnacentral:rRNA from 1 species